rnacentral:rRNA from 1 species
CAAGUCGACGAUCGGUAGCCGGACUGAGAGGUUGAACGGCCACAUUGGGACUGAGACACGGCCCAAACUCCUACGGGAGGCAGCAGUGGGGAAUAUUGCACAAUGGGGGAAACCCUGAUGCAGCGACGCCGCGUGAGCGAAGAAGUAUUUCGGAUUGUAAACUCCUGUCGUUAGGGACGAUAAUGACGGUACCUAACAAGAAAGCACCGGCUAACUAC